rnacentral:rRNA from 1 species
CACGUAGGCACCAAGCGUUGUCCGGAUUCAUUGGGCGUAAAGGGUGCGUAGGCGGGUCUUUUAAGUCAGGGGUGAAAUCCUGGAGCUCAACUCCAGAACUGCCUUUGAUACUGAGGAUCUUGAGUUCGGGAGAGGUGAGUGGAACUGCGAGUGUAGAGGUGAAAUUCGUAGAUAUUCGCAAGAACACCAGUGGCGAAGGCGGCUCACUGGCCCGAUACUGACGCUGAGGCACGAAAGCGUGGGGAGCAAACAGG